UUUCUUUGGCUGCAAAUAUAUUAAAAUUGGAAGGAAACAGAGAUUAGCAUGGUCCCUCUGCAAGGACAAAGCAGAAAUUUGUGUGAAGCAUUCUGUGUUUUU